AAAUUGGUCAUUCGCGCGUAUAACAACUCGAACCCCAGACCUCAUCAUGUCCCUGCGCUCCAUAUCCUACUGCUGGCCACUGCACCAAGCUUUUCUUUACACCAUAAUAGGACUCGAACAGAAUCCGCGCGCGUAAGGACUCGAACCUGCGCCCUCACCGCUUGCCCAGCACGCUGCUACCAUUGCGCCACGGCGCUCCUUGU
rnacentral:lncRNA from 1 species